rnacentral:pre_miRNA from 1 species
AGUGGAAUUGCUGGGUCAUAUGGUAAGUGUAUGUUUAACUUUAUAAGAAAUAACUAAACCAUUUUCCAAAGUGGCUGCAUCUUUUUACAUCCCCACCAGCAAU